UUUUUGUCGAAUACGACCCAGAGAGUCACGUCUUUGUGUGUGGAAGUCGUUGGUUUAUUUAUUUAUCUAUCAUAGACUUUAUGGCCGCGUGCAUCGCCACAUCUGCUUUUCAUUGUGGACACAUUUGUGCCGUAUUUUCCUCCACAACGCACCUCUCGACUGGAAAACCGCCGUUUGCGGAGAUCUUCCUCCAUGAAUCAGAGGCCAUCCGCACGUCCUUAUAGAGCGCCAAUGACGGCUUGUAUAAGCGGUCAUAUUUACGCAUUUCUUCCGACAAAAGUUCUUCAAUCUGAUCCGUUCUCUCGUAAACAUUCUUCGUUUUAAUAAUGGCGGUAUCGGGCUAUGAAAGCGGAAAUGUGAGACUCCGUAAAGGAUGUAGUUAGCAGACCAAUCGCAGCCUGGUGCGCUGCGGGAGGCUUGCGUCGCUUGCGUCGAAAGUGACGCAAGCCUAGAAAAAUGGCUCGACACACGCAAGGGGGUCUUGCGUCUGCGUCGCUCUGAAAACGCAGAAGCAUAAACUAGGCUUUAUAGACCGCAUAGGUUACACACUUAAAUCCAUCCAUUUUUGUAAAACCUUUUGUUACAUUGCUAUUAGUGCGCUUUACCUGUAGUUUCUCCGGCAAAGUUAUUCUCUCGUACCGAGUUCGGUCGGGGCUUCUUGGAAGAAUACUGCUCGUGGUCGCUCUUGUUAUGUUCUCCUGAUGUACAAUAUCAGGAGAAUAUGUCCCCUUCUCACUCAGAAGGCAGCGCAGGUACUGAUUCAGGCUCUUGUCAUCUCACGCCUGGGAGAUACUGCAACUCCCUCCUGGCAUGUCUCCCUGCUACCGCCAUUCGGCCUCUGCAGCUCAUCCAGAAUACAGCAGCUCGACUGGUCUUCAACCUUCCUAAAUUCUCCCACACUACUCCACUCCUCCGCUCUCUUCACUGGCUACGGGUGGCUGCCCGCAUCUCGUUUCUUGGUCUUGGUCUGAGUUUGUACCCUAUGGUUGAAUGCACUUAUUGUAAGUCGCUUUGGAUAAAAGUGUCAGCUCAAUGACAUGUAAUCUAAUCCAACAUUGUUUUGUUCAUAUAAGUGUAAUACGGUUAAUUUGAUUUGUACACAGUAAAUGUCAUCAUUAACAUAUAUUCAAAAGUUCAUAGUUUGCUUUAAUAUAAAUUCCAAUGUACCAAACAUACAGAGCAGUCAAAAAAACGUUUGUCUCCAGUGCAACAAAGUGCAAAGAAUAGAAUAAACAUUUAGACAACAUGUAUAUUGAGGACAACAAUACUUGGUCUAAUUAGCAGCAGUCGGACCUUGAUGUCAGAACCUCAGACUCUUCUUGUGUAAACAUUUAAAGAUGAAUAAGGUGUGGAUGAUGUUUCAUCUGUUGCUGAUUAGAAAUCUGCGCCCCGUUCCUCAUACAUGGUUCAACUAAGUCCAUCAAAUGUUCCAUUAGCCAAAAUAAAUUAACCUGAUGAUGGAAGUCAGGCUAUCAAAGCGUUCAUCCUGAAACUCUGGGACCUCGACACCUUCAUAUAGAUGAAACAGGACUGAGGGUUUGUCAUCAGUUAACAUCUCACAGGAGAUAUAAAGGGAGUUGGUGAAGUGGUCCGUGCUGGUGGGGAACAUCCAUUCUAGUGAGAUGUUGUGGUUCUCCUCUGCCUGAUACCAGCUCUGUGUCACAUUCACUACAAAUGUCCCUGCUGAGGAGGCAGAGAAGGAGAAGAGGAGGUGACAAACUGACAGCUUUAACAUGGAGCCUUUAGACCCCAUGCAGACGGACUCUAGUUUGCCUGAACCCGGGUACAUUUUUCACACCUACGCACUUUUUAAAUCGCGUGCACAUGAACCCAGUGAAUCCGAUUGACUCCGCUGUAGUACAUCCCCCACGCCUGUUGGUGGCGCUUUAAGGUGCUACAGACAACUGAAGAAAACGGAAGGAGAAGACAGGAGCAUGCGUAUAAGACAUGCGCGCCGUAUACAAAUAUUAUAGAUAUUCCCGUAGUACGCAUUGUAGACUUGUUAGCACAUUCAGCAGGCACAUUAUCCUUGCGUUCGCCAUUGUUGUCGUUGUUAUGAAGUGACGCAUUGGGGUUAACAAGGGUUCAGCGUGAGGUUGCAUGCAAUCACGUGAUGCAAUCCAAUUAGGUAUGCGGAUAGCGUGCAGACGAACACCAAAAGCAAUCGGAUUUCAAGUUUACUCACUUGUGCGGAUACAGUGUGCGGAUACAGUGCGUUCGUCUGCACAAUAGGGCUAUCCGGAGACGGGGUUCACCGGGUCCAGACAAACUAGACUCCAUCUCCAGAUGUUUCUGAGGAGUGUGUGCUGAUGCUUCACAGCUGCUUUACAAACCCAAAAGUGAACUGACCACAGACACAGGAGGUCAGGAUGAAGAUCACCAGGAUGCUGCAGAUCAUCUCCUCCCUAUGAGAGGAGACAGAGGAGAAGAGGCUCAAACAUCACAUCAACAUCAACAAUCUACAGUGUGUCUUUACAUCGUGAUGCUCUUUUGUGUUUAUCAUCAUGCUUGUUACAAACAGCUGUGAUGCUAAUGAUAACAUCCCUGAGAACAACAACCACAAAGUAAAGCUGGUUUUGCUGUAGAUGAUUCACUCAUAGUCAAAUAAAACUUGUUUCCAUCUGCACCUCUUAAUAGCCUUUAAUGUCCUAACUAAGAGAAAUGAUGGGAAAACUAUUUGCAUUUCACCAGACGAGCCCACAAUAUCAUCAAGGACAGAAUCCUCCCCCAG
ensembl:lncRNA